CUCCUAGUACGAGAGGACCGGAGUGGACGAACCUCUGGUGUUCCGGUUGUCACGCCAGUGGCAUUGCCGGGUAGCUAUGUUCGGACAGGAUAACCGCUGAAAGCAUCUAAGCGGGAAACCUCGCCCAAGAUGAGAUCUCACUGGUACUUUAAGUACCCUGAAGGGCCCUGAGAGACUAUCAGGUUGAUAGGCUGGGUGUGGAAGCGCAGUAAUGUGUGAAGCUAACCAGUACUAAUUGCCCGUGAGGCUUGACCAUAUAACACCCAAGUAGUUUGG
rnacentral:rRNA from 1 species